rnacentral:rRNA from 1 species
GUGAACGCUGGCGGUAGGCCUAACACAUGCAAGUCGAACGGCAGCACAGUAAGAGCUUGCUCUUACGGGUGGCGAGUGGCGGACGGGUGAGGAAUACAUCGGAAUCUACUUUUUCGUGGGGGAUAACGUAGGGAAACUUACGCUAAUACCGCAUACGACCUACGGGUGAAAGCAGGGGAUCUUCGGACCUUGCGCGAUUGAAUGAGCCGAUGUCGGAUUAGCUAGUUGGCGGGGUAAAGGCCCACCAAGGCGACGAUCCGUAGCUGGUCUGAGAGGAUGAUCAGUCACACUGGAACUGAGACACGGUCCAGACUCCUACGGGAGGCAGCAGUGGGGAAUAUUGGACAAUGGGCGCAAGCCUGAUCCAGCCAUACCGCGUGGGUGAAGAAGGCCUUCGGGUUGUAAAGCCCUUUUGUUGGGAAAGAAAAGCAGCAGGUUAAUACCCCGCUGUUCUGACGGUACCCAAAGAAUAAGCACCGGCUAACUUCGUG